CAGUUAAAAAGCUCGUAGUUGGAUUUCUGUGAGAGUAUGAUGUCCUAACGUGUUUAGAGCGCAGAAAACUCUUGCAUCCUUCUGUUACCUCCACGUGGCAUUCGCUUGCCAGUGGUUGGCUCAGAGAAUUUACCUUGAGAAAAUUAGAGUGUUUCAGGCAGGCUUAGACGGAAUACAUUAGCAUGGAAUAAUAGAAUAGGACUCCGGCCUCGUUGUUGGUUUGAGGGACUGUAGUAAUGAUUAAUAGGGAUAGUUGGGGGCAUUAGUAUUCGGUUGUCAGAGGUGAAAUUCUCAGAUUUAUUGAAGACUAACUUAUGCGAAAGCAUUUGCCAAGGAUGUUUUCAUUAAUCAAGAACGUAAGUUAGGGGAUCAAAGACGAUCAGAUACCGUCCUAGUCUUAACCAUAAACUAUGCCGACUCGGGAUUGGGGGCGUGUUAUUAUCCGCCUUCAGCCCGUAUGAGAAAUCAAAGUCUUUGGGUUCUGGGGGGA
rnacentral:rRNA from 1 species